AAGCCAUGACGGGGACACAACCUAGUCAUAUUUUGAAUCUCCGCAAAGCCUCAUACAAGCUUUCACCUACAUACUGCAUGAACCUAGUAAUUUUGUAUUUGAUGCU